UACAGAGGAGCCAAGCGUUGUCCGGAUUGACUGGGCGUAAAGCGCACGCAGGCGGACGCGCGCGUGGGGUGUGAAAUCUGGCCGCUUAACGGCCAGGCGCCAUCCCAUACGGCGCGUCUGGAGCAAUGCAGAGGUCGGUGGAAUUGCCGGUGUAGUGGUGAAAUGCGUAGAGAUCGGGAGGAACACCAGUGGCGAAGGCGGCCCCCUGGGCCGUUCCUGACGCUGAGACGCGAAGGCGCGGGGAGCGAACGGG
rnacentral:rRNA from 1 species